rnacentral:lncRNA from 1 species
GGCAGUCUGAUCGUGUCUUCCUCCAUCCUGAUCGCUCGAGGCACUGGGACAUGUAGUGGUGACGAGGAAGUGUAAUUUGGUACUGGGCUGGCUGGAGGUGUGUACGAAAUUCUCUCUUGCUUGAUGCAGCACUGGGCAGCAGGCUCAGACAUCUCUCAGGAGGAGCUCCGCGCAGCCCAGCGGGCGGCCGGGAACUUCUGGGGCUCUUCCCACCUCCCGCUCCCCGCCGGCCCCUCAGGAGGAAGUUGCGGCCGCCACCGCGGCCCGCGGAGCUGCCCGGGGUCCCCUCCCCGCCGCCGCGCUCCGGGGGGCGCUCGGAAGCUGCCGCCCCCCGCCGCGCGUGGCCGUGUGCGCGCGUGUGCGGGACCGCGCGUGUGUGAGCGCGCGUGUGCGCGGGGCAGAGGGGGGAGCGCGAGGCGGGGGGAGGGAGGGAGAGGGCGGGCGCUGCCGCCGCGGCCCCCGCUGCCCACCAGUGUUUUCCUUCCUGGAAGAGAAACCGAAAGGCGGCGCGGGCCCGGCCGGCCGUGCCCCGCCCAUGGAGCCGGAGUUUCGGGGGCCCGAAAGUGACGUGAGUUCCCGGCAGCCGGCCCCGCCCCUUAAAGGUGCCGCUGCGGCGCGAAACGGCCGCGAUCGGCCGCCGCCCGCGUGCGCCCUGGCGCUGAAGGAGAGCCGAGAGGAAGGGGUCCGGGCGGGCGCGGCCCGGCUGGGGCCGGCGUGCUGCGUUCGGCACCGAUCCGCCGGGGGGAGGCGGCGCGGGAGGGCCGUUGAGACGCGCCAGCGUGGGCGGAGAACCCAGCGAACGGGUGGAAGGCGCUGAGGGAGGCGGUGAGCGGAGCGGCGACGACAACAAUGGCCUUUGUUCCGCAGGCGGGGCGGCCCCUUUAAGAGCGCAGACCUGGAAGUGGCACGGGAAGUCCGGGCAGGGCGCAGCGGUGGCUCUGCGCGGCCUUACAGUAGGCGGCGGAGGCGACAAGGAGCCCCGAGUAGGAGUGCGGCAGUGGGGGGGUGGCGGUGUUCGCAGCACCACACACACAUACACACUAUGGAGAAGGGAGCUCCGCGCUUCGCAAAGCGUGGCACGGCGCCCAGUGGUCAGCACCGCGCCUUCUCCCAGCCUGGCGUGCUGGGGACGCGGUGUCUGCCAACGCGUGUGGCGCGGCCGCAGUGUGGAAGCGCCGGGCUCUGUUUUGCCGAUAGGGUCCCACACGUCGGGGUCCGGCGGGGCUUCCCGCAGCACAUCGGGCGGACACGUCGGGUCACGGGGCAGUGCGUGCGUGUUGCAGAGCGGCACGGCGCUAACGCAGGCGGGCGCGUACAGUUGGCCGAGCAAAGUGCUGCGCGCAGAAAGUGAAAUAGAGCUGUGCCGCGUUUGUUGGUAACUUCCACGGGAAUGUCGGGUGUGAUCUGCGGCCGAACGUCAGAGACGGGUAGCGUGGGGUGGGUUGCGUUUCCUUGUUUUGGAGACGGGUCACUUUGGAAUAGGAGGCUUGUGCUCGCAGCGGGUGGGCACCGAGAGCGCUGCUGGUUUUGGGAACGGUAAAACCUCUCGUUUCCUCGCCUUGGUGCAGUGUGUUACAGAGUUGUCUGGAGAGGGAUACAUCCACGGCAGGAGGGAGCCAAGGCCGUGUACCGGAGUCUUGAAAUUACUGACUGCUGACUUUUCAUUACCCUUAAAAUAGACCCUUUACAUUACAUACAGUGUGUGGGGGGCCGCGCAUGAGGUCAUACCCCCCCCCAACCCCCCUUGUUCCUGCUGUUUGCAUGGAUAUCUCCUGCUCUUCAGUCCCAGCCUUCAUCACAAGAUGUGGUGAGAAAGGCACCUGCUCUCCCAGGACGGGAGGCUGCUAGGAUCUGCCGGUAGGCAUCCUGGGGCAGGCUGCCACAGGCCAUUUUGCAAACCAGGACCAAAUAACUCCCUGUGCUCUCUUGCAGCUUGUUACAGCUUCGUUUUAAGCAGUCCGGGAAACUAAAGAAGAAAGAGGAAGGGAAAAUAAUAUUCCCUCUCAGCUUAGCAACUGAUGACUUUUUAAUAUAGGGCCAACUCAAUAACAAAGAAAGCUUAUCUACUCUGCUUCACUCUACGGGACUGCGCUGCUGGAGAAGAGUCAUUGCAUCUUGAUUGCUUUUAUGGUGCAGCUCUCUCUGCUAUUAUUCUCUCUGCUUCAUCAUUGUAUGACAUUUUCCCUUUCUUCCUGCAUGAUUACCUCUGGCUUUCCCCAAGUGCUGAGUCAUUAUUCUGUACCUCACAGCAAAGGAGCUUUGUGAUUCCUUAUGUUAAAUGUAGAAAUAAGAGAUGGAAAGAACCUGUUAGGUCAUCCACUCCACAUCCCCACUGGUAGAGUAUUUACAGCACACAAUCGAUCCAUCCAUGUUAGUUUUAAGUUACUUAGGUAAUGGGGCUUCCACCUCUUCCUUUUGGAGUCUGUUUCGUGGACUAACAGCUCCCAUGGUUGGGAAAAUAUUUGGUCCAUAUCUUCAUUUGUCCAGUUUCACCCAAUUACUCCUGGUUAUAACUGUGUAUUUUACUACCCUUUUUUUUUUUUUUUUUUCUCUUUUAUGGCUCUCUGUGCUUUUCACCCAGGUAUCACUUCUUUUCCUAGCCAUUGACAUUUGUUCUUUUUAUCUCCUUGUUUUAUCAGUUCCUGCAGCCACUUUGUCACUGUCAUUGGUCUUUAAUUCUCACCCAUCUCCCCGGCUGCUUUUAGAAACAGGUAACUUCCCCAGUCUUUUGUGAAUGUAGCCAAUGCUCCAUAAUGGUUUAGUCUGUCUGCAAGUUGCCUCACCAGCUUCAAAAUUUGUCAUCUGCCACCACCAUGAAUCAGUGUUAUGGACCCUCUUACUCUUCAAUGUUUCCUCUUGCAAUAUAAUUGUAAUCUCAUAUUCUCCAUGACAGCUAUGGUGAAGCUGUGUGUCCUGGGUCUAAUUUUUUUCUACCCGUGGUUUUGAUAUUCGCACGUCCACUCCUUCUGGGUUCUCUGGUAUCUAUGCAAAUCUUCAUCCAUUUUGGUUCCUCUCAUUAGUUGCAAUCUCCUGAGACCUCAGACUACAUGGUCCUGGCCACUGUGCUGUACAGGAGACAGGAAAUGCUACCACGUCUCCUGGUGAGCAGCAUGGUCUGUGGCUGCACACAGUUGCUCUGGAGAUGUGAGGAGAAAGCUUCUCCAGCUGUCAGCUUCCCUUUAGAUCUGUUCUGUAUGGACUUUGUCCAGAGCAGAAUGGAAGUGCAUUAGCUAAUAUUAAACCUGGAAUGGGCUCCCAGCUAGUUUCUUUCCCUCUCACCAAGAGUCUACUGCUCAGCUUAUCUACAGGGAGGAUCCUGUUGUUCAAAGCAAGAUUUAUGAUCUCACAGAGCCACCUUUCAUAGAUGCGCAUGCCAGAAAUCCCCAAACUUUUUGCUCAAAUAGGUGGUAGCAAUACUAAUUCAGGCAAAAAGUAAUCCUAUUCUAGCCUGUAAAGUGACACCAAGUUCCUGCCUUUAUUAGCGCUGUCAUGGGAGAGGGAGACUGUGGUGUUGGAAGGCAAGAGCAGGAUGAGAAAACUGUGAACUGAAGAAUGAUCUUUUUGCUUGUAGUGGCCUGAAAAUCUGGCAUUGGGUGCUCAUACUUUCUAGUCUAGAGUUUGUCCCUGAAAACAGAGCAAGCCCCUGCUUGUAGUAGGUGACUCCCUAUUUAAAGGCGCUGAGGCUCACUCCCCUCUGCUUGCCUGACAUGGCCAUCUGGAGAGGCCUCCUGCUUCCCAGGAGCCAAGAUCUGAGACAUUGCCAAGAGAGUGCCACAGCUUGUCAAGAGCAUGGAACUACUAUUUGCUACUGCUCUUUCAUGUGGGCAUGAAUGACAAUGGAAACUGGAACAUAGGCAGAAUCAAAAAGACUAUAAAGCCCUGGGAGCACAAGUGAAGAACACUAGUGCCCAAGUUAACUUCUCUUCAGUUUUACCAGUUGGAGGAGAGAGGGCAGCCAAAAAUAGAGUUAUAAUGCAUGUCAACUCCUGGAUAUGUGGUUGGCACAUGAAGUUUUUGUUUCUUAUGACAGUGGGACUUUCUAUGAAGAUUAUAACCUUUUAGGGAAAGGGUGGGAUCCACCUGCCUAGAAGAGGCAGGACCACCUUUGGCAGCAGGCUGGUUAACAUAGUAAGGUGAGCUUUAAACUGAAUGACUUUGGGAGUGCGAUCAAAAAUGCAAUUCUCAUGGCACACUCACAACUGGAGAAUGAGCCAAGCCAAUCAGAACUGUGAUAAAUGUUCCUUAGCUACCUCCCAUGACAUGAGCCUGAAGAACAGUCACUUCAACAGUGUGUAUAGCUAUGGGGAAUACUCCUGCAUUCCUCUAGGGAUACCUGCAUUCUCAGCUCCCUUUUCUUCUCUGAAGUGACUAUGUACCAAUGUGCACAGUGUGGCAAAUAAGUAGGAAAAAGUAGAGAGCAGUUGCAGGACCUUGAUUUCGUUGUGAUCACAGAGACAUGGUAGGACAGCUUGCAUGACUGCAAUGCUAUCCUAGAUGGCUAUGUACUUUUUAAGAAAGACAAGGCCAGUAAGACAAGAUAGUGGAACUGCUCUUUGUGUGAGAGAACAACUGGAAGGUAUUGAGCUCUGCCAGGAGAUGAAUGAUGAACCACUGGAAAGCUUAUGGGUGAGGAUUAAGGGGCAGGCUAAUAUGACACUGCUGUGGAUGUUUAGUUCAGACCACCUGAUCAAGAGGAGGAAGUUGGUGAGGCCUUCUGCAGACAGAUGAAAGUAGCAAUUUGCAAUCCUGGGCUUCAGGAGAGCCAACUAUGACCUCUUCAAGGACCUAUGUGGAGGUAUGCCAUGGGUUAGAGCACUGGAAGGUAAGGGAGCCCAAGAGAGUUGGUUGACAUUCUAGCACCAGUUCUUCCAAGCUGAAGAUCAGUGCAUCCCUAAGAAUUAGAAAUCAAGCAAAGGUGGCAGGGACACAUAUGGAUGAGCAAGGAGCUCAUGGAAAAAUUCCAGUGGAAGCAGAUAGUCUAUGGAAUGUAGAAGGGGGGUCUGGUCAGUUGGAAGGAGUGUAGGAACAUUGUCAGGGCAUGCAGGAUUGCAGUGAGGAAGGCUAAAGCCCACUUGGUAUUAAAUCUGGUGAGGGAGAUCAAGGACAAAAAGAAAGACUUCUUUAAGUAUGUCAGUAGCAAAAGGAAGACUAGGGAAAAUGUGGGUCCCCUGCUGAAUGAGACAGAUGCCGCACUAACAGAGGACACUGAACAGGCAGUUACUGAAUGCUUUUUUUGCUGCAGUCUUUACUGCUAAUGCUGCCCCUCAGAAAUCCCAGACCAUGGAGGUAAUAGAGAGAGAGUCUGGGGAAAGGAAAACUUCCCCUGUUUGUGGAGGUUCUGGUCAGAAAUCAUCUAGGCAGACUCAACACACACAAAUCUAUGGGCCCUGAUAGAAUGCACCCAUGAGUGCUGCGGGAGCUGGAGAAGUGAUUGGCAAACCACUCUCGAUUAUCAUCUUUGAAAAGUCAUGGAGAAUGAGAGAGGUGCCUGAGGACUGGAGGAAAGCCGGUGUAACUGCAGUCUUCAAAAAGGGCAAGAAAGAGGAGCUGGGAAAAUACUGGCCAGUCAGACUCACCUCCAUGCCUGGGAAGGUGAUGGAACAGGUUGUUCUGAAUGUCAUUUCCAAACAAGUGGAAGAAAAGAAGGUUAUCAGGAGUAGUCAACAUGGAUUCUCCAAGGGGAAAUCAUGCUUGACCAAUCUGAUAGUCUGUGAUGUCAUGACCAGCUGGGUAGAUCAGGGGAGAGCAGUGGACGUUGUCUACUUUGGCUUCAGCAAGGCUUUUGACAAUCUUUCAUAACAUCCUUGUAGGUAAGAUUAGAAAGUGUGGGAUAGACAAAUGGACUGUGAGAUGGAUUGAAAAUUCUCUGACUGGCAGAGCUCAGUGGGUUGUGGUCAGUGGCAUGUGAAGUCUAGUUUGAGGCCUGUGGCUAGCAAUGUUAUCCAGGAAUUGAUACUGGAUCCAAACUUGUUUAACAUUUUAGUCAAUGACCUGGGUGAAGGGAUAGAGUUGCACUCAGCAAGUUUGCUGAUGAUAUGAAGCUGAGAGGAGUGGUUGACAUACCAGAAGGCCGUGCUGCCAUUCAGCGAGACCUGGACAGGCUAGAGAAUUAGGCGGAGAGAAACCUAAUGAGGUUCCACAAGGCAAGUGUAGAGUCCUACAUCUAAGGAGGAAUAACCACACUCAUCUGGUACGGUUUAGGGGCUGAUCUGCUGGAAGGGAGCUCUGCAGUGAAGGACCUGGGUGUCCUGGUGGACAACAGGUUGACCAUAAGCCAGCAAUAUGCCCUUGUGGCUAAGAAUGACAAUGAUAUCCUGGAGUGCCUAAAAUAGAACAUGGCCAGCAGGUCAAGGGAGGUGACCAUCCCCUUCUACUCUGCCUUGAUGAGGCUACAUCUGGAGUACUGUCUCCAAUUCUGGGUUCCUUAGUUCAAGAAAAAUGAGAAGUUUCUAGAGAGAGUCCAUCAGAGGCCCACAAAGAUUAUUAGGGGCCUGGAACAUCUCCUGUAUGAGGAACAGCUGAGAGACCUGGGACUGGUUCAACCUGGAGAAGACUGUGGGGGGAUCUUACCAACAUUUACAAAUAUCUAAUGGGAGGGAGUCAAGUGGAUGAGGUCAGGCUCUUUUCAGUGCUGUACAGUGACAGGCCAAGAGGCAAUGGACACAAGCCAGAACAUAAAAGUUCCAUACACGCGAGGAAAAACUUAACUUUGAGGGUGACUGAGCACUGAACAAGCCGCCCUGAGAAGUUGUGGAGUCUCCUCUGGAGAUAUUCAAAACCUGCCUGGGUGCUUUCCUCUGUAACUUGCUCUAGGGAGCCAGCUUUAGCAAGAGUGUUGGAAUAGAUGAUCUCCAGAGGUCCCUUCUGACCCCUAUGGCUCUGUGAUUCUUUGAAAAGGAGGCUAACUAACCUUUCAAUGAGACUUUUAAUUUUCAGUGUGCAGCGAUGUGUCUGCACGCCAGCUGCCACCAGUUCUCCCUCUGUCACCAGCUCUCUUUCUGCCGUCACUUAUUCAACUGCUGGGCUAAUUUUCUCAGAUCUCCCUGAAGGAUGGAACCUGUUUAUCAAAGGAAUUUACACAUUUCAGAAGCUACAUCCAGGGUUUUCAUUUGUCCCUUUGUGUACUGUUUUUCCAGUUUCAGCAGUGUAGAGCAGUAGUUCAGACACAUGCAACAAUCACGGAUUUCACCUCACUUCUGAAUAAAGUUUGUGUUCAUGCUUUUUAUAUCUACGGAGGCAGUCACUAGUUCUAAGUGCCCAUAGUUAUCAUUAGCUCAUUCUACUGUUUCUCUGCUGAUAGCUUUUCUUUGCUUUUAUCUUUGCCCAGCAAAACUUAACUCAUUCAUUUAUUUAGUUCUUGCUUCUUUCUUCUUUUUGUGAUACUAGUUUCAUUUUCACCUUCUAAAGUUCAAGCAGACACAAAUAGUCACUUGAUGGUUUUUUUUCUCCUUUAAAUUUCCUGGAUGGAAAGAGGUGUACUGUUCCUCCAGUACACACUUUGCUAAGGCACAUCACAUUUGGGUCUCCUUUUGUCCCUUACCUCUGAAGAUCCUGACCCUAUAGCUCAGUCUACUGACAUUACUGUGUAAUCUCAACAGAGGUUACUCUUAGAGAUUCAGGCACAGCAUCAAGUUCUUAAGGAACAAAACACAGUUGGAGAUGGUAGUAAAUUCCAAGAAUGUGAAAGCAAUUAAGACGAACAUCGAUGUUAGAAUGCAGGGGAGGUUUUGAUCUGGAGGAAAAAACAGGAAAUCCAUGCAAGUUGGUACACAGAUGUGCUCUGAUAGGGAUCCCCCAUUGCACGUUUAGCACUAAGAUUCUUUUGUCCUUAGCAAAUUGAUUUCUGAAACUGAAGUGUGUUUUAAUGACCCUGGUAUGCAUCAGUCACAUCACUUUUCGUCAUUUGCAGUAAGAUUAGCUUUCAGUUCAUAAUCCCAGGGAAAUCCUUUUCCCAAGGUUCACUCAGGCUAAUGUUUCCUGUAGUAGAAGUCUCAUGCUUGGCUUUUCAGGAAUACAUAAAUACAUAUAUACAUAGGACAUUUUGAAUUAAUGCCACCUAUUUAUCUCCAUGGAAACUGCAACAGAUACAAAACACAAUAAUGCUAUUCGACAGAACUAGUUCUAAGCUACAAAACACCAUUUUUCAACAGUCACCACCAUUAGCUGAUUUGUGUGGAUGAGCUCAUCAAGAUGUUCCUCAUUUUGCAGUGUGACAGGCAGCUGUGCAUGGAUGUCUAGAACAUCACUUGUCUUUUCACAUCACUGUCAUCACUGCUGAGGUGCACCACUCACCCCCUUACUGUGCUCACAUCCACUGUUUGGUCUCUAUAAAUGCUCAGCAAGCAUUGAUGAAGAUCAGUGGGUGCCAUUUUUUCUGUUUGGAGGAAUCCAGUGACACACCUUUGCUUCAUACACCACUCCCAUGUCAGACACCAUUUUGUCAAACUGCCCCUCUGCUGCCAUCUGUCACACAGCGACAAAAUAUAAUGGAAUACUGUCAGGAAGGUUUAACCUCUACUGCCAUCUCACCAACAUCUUCCUCUGGUGUCAUGGACUGACAUAAUAAAAGAGGAGGCAAUACUUUUAGAGCAGCCCUCAUGUAUGUAAUUUGUAUAGAAAUAUAUUUUUAUGUAUUUUAGUAGAAAUAUAAAAUACAUUUUCUUACUUACAUACAUUAACUAUAUUAUGUGUUUUGUGAGAGCUGCUCUGAAAGUAAUGCCUCCUAUUUUAUGAUGUCCCAUGACAUCAGAGGCAGAUAUUGGUGAGACGGCAGUAGAGGUUUAACUUCCCCAACAAUGUUUGGUUACAUUUUGUUGCCAAGUGACAGAUGGCAGCAGAGAGACAGUCUGACAAAAUGAUGUCUGACAUGAAAACAUGUAUGAAGCAAAGGUGUGUCAUCAAAUUCCUUCGUAUGGAAAAAAUUGCACCCAGUGACAUUCAUCAAUACUUGCUGUACAUUUAUGAAGGCCAAACAGUGGAUGUGAGCACAGUGAGGUGGUGAGUGAUGCAUUUCAGCAGCAGCAGCAGUGACAGUGGGUCACCUCUGCUGGUGUAGAUUGUUAUGAGUACAGCACAGAAUCACAGAAUCAUCAAAUCCUUAGAGUUGGAAGGGACCCUUAAAGAUCAUCUUGUCCAACUCCUCUGCAAUGAACAGGGACAUCCGCAGCUAGAUCAGGGCCUGAUCCAGCUUUGCCUUGAAAGUCUCCAGGGACAGGGGAGAGUCUGUCCUCUUCUUUCCUGUAGCUCCCCCCUUUAGGUUUUGGAAGGCCACUAUCAGGUCACUUCCAAGCCUUCUCUUCUCCAGGCUGAACAGCCCCAGCCCUUUCAGUCGGUCCUUAUAGGAGAGGUGUUUCAUCCCUUGGAUCAUUUUUCUGGCCUUCCUCUGGACGUGCUCCAGUACGUGUGUGUCUGUCCUGUACUGAGGACUCCACAUCUGGAUGCAGUGCUCCAAGUGAGGCUUCACCUGCACAGAGUAGAGGGGCAGGAUCACCUCCCUCAGCCUGCUGGCUGUUUUUUUUUAGAUGCAGCCCAGAAUACAAUUGGCUUUCUGGGCUGCAAGAACACACUGCUGACUCAUGUCCAGCUUCCCAUCCACCAGUACCCCCAGGUCCUUUUUGGCAGGGUUGCACUCAAUCCUUUUAUCUCCUAGCUUGUAUUGAUAGCAGGGGCUGCCACAACCCAGGUGCAAGACCUUGCACUUGGAUUUGUUGAACCCCAUGAAGUUCUCCUGGGCCCACUGCUCAAGUGUGUCUAGAUCCCUCUGGAAGGCAUCUUGUCCCUCUGAUGAGACAACUGCACCACCACAGCUUGGUGCCAUACGCAAACUUGCUGAGGGUGCACUCGACCCCACUGAUAUUAAAUAGGUAUCGGUCCCAGAACUGACCCAUGGGGGACAUCUCUCAUCAGUGAUCUCCAUCCAGACAUUGAGCCAUUGACCACCGCUCUCUGAACUUGAUCCUGCAGCCUUCAUCCUUUGAACAGUCCUUCAUCCAUUGAACAGUCUACCCAUGUUAUCCAUAUCUUUCCAAUUUGGAGAGAAGGGUGUGGUGGAGUACCAUGUCAAAGGCCUUGCUGAAGUCCAGAUAGAUCACAGAAUCUCAGAAGUUGGAACGGACCUCAAGAGAUCAUUGAGUCCAACCCCUCUGCUGAAGCAGGUACCUUACAAUAGGUCACACAGGUAGGCAUCCAGCCACGUCUUGAAUAUCACCCUAGAAUGGGACUCCACAACCUCUCUGGGCAGUCUGUUCCAGUGCUGUCAACCUUACCAUAAAGUUCUUCCACAUGUUAGUUUGGAACUCUAUGUUCAAGUUUUAGGCCAUUACUCCUUGUCCUAUCACUACACACCAUCAAGAAGAGCCUGGCCUCCAUUUUGCCUCCCACCUCCCUUUAGAUAUUUAUAAACAUUUAUCCAGUAUCCUCUCAGUCUUCUUUUACCCAGGGUGAACAGACCCAGGUUACUCAGCCUUUCCUCAUAGGGGAGAUGCUCCAGACACUUAACCAUCUUUGUGGCCAUCCGUGGGACUCUUUCAAGGAGAUACCUGUCUUUUCUGAACUGAGGAGCCCAGAACCAGACACGGUAGUCUAAAUGUGGCUUCACCACAACAAAGUAGAGGGGGAGAAUCACCUCCCUUGACCUGCUGGCCAUGCUCUUUUUAAUGCAUUCCAGGAUAUCAUUGGCCUUCUUGGACACAAGGGCACACUACUGGCUCCUGAUCAACCUGUUGUCCACCAGGGCCCCCAGAUCCUUCUCUGCAGAGCUCCUCUCCAGCAGGUCAUCCCCUAACAAGUACUGAUGCAUACAAACAACAUCAGUGGCUCUUGCGUCGUCCACUGAUGCAGUUACACCAUCAUAAAAGGCCACUGGGUUGGUCAAGCAGGAUUUGCCCCUGGUGAAGCCAUGCUGGUUCUUCCGUAUCACCUGCCUGUCUUCCCUGCACCUUAGCAUAUCUUCCAGGAGGAUCUGCUCCAUGAUCUUUUCUGACAUAGAGGUGAAACUGACAGGUUUUUUACCCUCCUUAAAAAUGGACAUGAUAUUGCCUUUCUUUCCAGUAAUGAGGGAAUUCCCCUGAUUGCCAUGACUUUUCAAAUAUCAUUGAGAGUGGCUUUGCGACUACAUCAGCUAAUUUCCUCUUGUUCAUCGCUGGUGAAAAAUGCAUAGCUAAUGGUGAUGACUGUGUUGAAGAAGAGUGUUUUGUACCUGAGAAUUUGCUCUAUUAAAUAGUGCAGCUGUGCUCUUUGCAUCAGUUGUAGUUUCCAUUGAUAUAAUUUGGAGGCAUUACUUUCAAAGCAACCUUCAUAGUUGUGGCCCUAGACAAUUCCUCUUCACUCAGUGCGGCCCAGGCAUGCCAAAAAGUUGGACACCCAUUCUCUAAUCUGUGUCAUCAUCACGUGUUGUCACAUACUGGAUUAUUUUGAAUCAUCUGGUAUAUUGCUCCUGCAAAUAAGAGAAACACCUUUCUACUGCUGCGAAAGAAAAUAUUCUGGUAGGUAAGAACGGGAAGAGUUACUGAGGAUUGUACUGAUUUAACUCCAUUUCACUGUUCAUAGGAGUGCAGCUUCUUCUGAGGGACAAAUUUAUGCUUCUGUUUGGAAAGCAGAUGUCAUUGUACAAGUCACAGCUUCAAUACAUGUUGACAGUGCUACUGUUGGAAUGUACUUGGAUGCUGCAUCAACAAGUGGUCAUGACAAAGCUCCUGAGAGCUCCAUUGACACCAACCCAGCAAUAGCUAACCCUAUCAGAUUGGGUUAAAAUGCAUGGGCCCAGGAGAGCCCGUGUGCUGGCUGGGAGCUGGAGAAGGGACAGUAGCUUCUGAGCCACAGUCAGGCUCCUGAACCUGCCUGUCACUGUGGCAUCAGGACAAUAAGGGGAAAUGGCUGAGAGGAAACAGAGCAAGACUGUGGGGGAAAAUCAAUAGCAGGGAGCUGUGGAGGAGCUGGGGUAGGUGAAACCUCUCCAUUUGACCUACUUUAGCAGGUGUAGUUGUUUAGAUGGAAUUUAAAUCUCUGAAGAUAUGUGGGGAACUUCCUGACAUCACCCAAAGAUGGGCAGGGGCCAGGGCAGGGCUACACAUGUCAAGUAUGUGCUUAACCAUAACCAGGUCCAAACCCUUCAGUGCCAGCAGAGAUUUCCACGUGCGCUGGCUCAUUCUUGAGCAGGCAGAGCUCCAUAGGGGACACAGAAUCACUGGUGAAUGAGGUAAAGCACAAAGGUAUACCAAAAAUAGGAUAUUUGGAACACAGUUCUGCAGCGUGCUAGGUCUUCAGCUACCAAUUUCAGAUAUAAGCUGUACCUGCUUUGUCCUUAUGUUGUCCAGAACCGUGUAACAUCUGUCAAUACUGUUAACCUCAGGAAUUUAAAAUAAUUAGUUGUUAGUUAUUUAUAAUUAGUUACUUGUCUCUCACUCCAACAUUGCAGGAUUUUGAGGGAAAAGAUUGGGAAAAAAGAAAUAAAUUCAAAUGUAUCUGCAUAUUCUGAUCUUGCUUCUGGGUUUUGUUUUGUAAACUACUAUUUGCAAAUUUAUCCCCCAAAUUUUGAAUGCUAUUAGACUUCUUUUCUCUUUCAUUAUAGUCUUUUUUCCAUCUGUCUUUCACUCCCUCUUUCCCUUCCUCCCUCUCUCCUUACCCAGUUCUUUCGUCCCUCCCUGACUCCUUGCCUGCCUGUCUGCCCAUUUCGUAUGUAAUUACAUGAUUCAGACCAGGAGAAUUAAGGAACAGGAAAACAUAUGAUGAAACUGAAGGUAAAAGUAGAAAAGCCAUCAAACUAUGUGCUGUUACUGCAAAACAUUCUAAACAAAAGUAAACAAGAAAUAGAAGCUGAAGGGGCAGAGUUCAACAUUUCUGUCAGGUCAUGCCAAAGUGAUUUACAUUUUAUAGAUACCGUGGCUGGUUUAUCCUUCUCCUCUUCACUUACCUCAGCUGCAGAGGUGAAGCAAACUUUUCUCAAAGCCUAAUCCUCUCUAUUGGUAAUAUUUUCAGAGGCUGGUUCCUCUUCCCCCUCCCUUUUUCUGCAUCAUUUUCUCCACAGGGUGACAGGAUUACAGCUGUCGUGCCCAUUCUGAGUUGUGGUGCGCACUCUGUCAUCCAUGUCAUUCUAACUCUAUAUCUUGCUGGCAGUAAAAGAGUGACACAAAUUGUUUUCCUGCCAGAUUAACAUUGUCUAGUAGAUUUAAUGCUCAUAAUCUAAUGUGAGAGAGAACAUUAUAUGGGCAACAGAAGUCAAUCUGCUUGCAACGAUUGUCCAGCAUUGCUGAAAAUAAAUAAAUGAAUGCAUGAAUGAAUAACACUGCAGUUCUAGCCCUGUGGAAGCAGAGCACCAUUCUGCACUGUUCUGUACCUUCUGAGGCGGUGCCCUAUAGUGACAGUGCUGCCCAGCUGUAUGACCGGUAGGAUGACGUGGAAAUGCAGCAAAGGAGAAGGAGAAGCGAUAAAUAAAUAAAUGAAUAAAUAAAUAAAUAAGAAGGAAAGAAAGAAAAAUGAAAUAAGGGAGAAGGAAAAGGAAACAGGAAAAGCAAAAAAGGAAAAGGAAACUCGAGGUCGAGUGAGAGCAGUGUGUACUCAGCGAACUGCAGAAUGAAACCUUGGCAAAUGAAAAAAAUCAGUGUGAGUACAGCUUGUUGCAUAGAAGUGUGAUUUAUCUGCUUUUAUUUUCAAUAGUUCCAGUGGCAUCAUAAUGUAAGAUUUUAUAACCUAUUAAAUCAUGCCUGACGUUUAUUGUUGUAUUUUGGAGUGGAUACAUUACAGAUAGGCAGGAGCUGCACAGCAGUUUCUUCUCAGAGGUCUUAUUCCAUCCUCGUGCCCUUUUAUAACUUUAGCUCAGAAACUGCCCAAUGUUAACUGAAGAUAAAGAUUUUGGCCAAGAAUCAAAAAAUAAUCAACUUUUCAAUUACCAUUGAGUCGUUCGGAUCGCCCUGAUAUGAGGUGGCCUUUAUUUAUGUAGUUGUCUUCUAUUUCCAAAAGCAGAUCUGCAUACAAAAGGGUUAACAGCAACAGUCUCUUUGGGCUUCGCAGUAACCUUCAGAGCAAACAGGUUGCCCUUUCACAGGAAAGAGGUGGUAAUCAAUCUAAGUUGCUCACCAUUUUUUUUUUUUUUGUCUGUGUGUAGGGAGUGACAUAAUUAAUACCAGUAACUUGAGUUGACCCCAAUAUUAUGUUGGGAGAUGGCUGAGAAGAGGCAUAGAGGUGGGUGGAUAUGGGUGCCAAGGUCAUGUCCUUAUCUGGCCCAACUCUCCACACUUUUCUGUUGCCUAUGGAGGGUCUCCGUGAUGUCAGCCUGGACACUGUUCUUAGCAGCUUCCAUCUCUGCAACUUUAGCAUCUUUUCUGUAUACCAUUCACUUGAAUGGAAGGAGGGCAGCCUACUGUCAGGGGAAGCAGCAGUACCAGCAGUGAUGCAGGAUGUGGCACUGAAUGUUUGUCCUAUCCUGGCUCUUGGUGCUGGAGGACCAGCUGCCUCCUCAACAGACCUCAGGGCAUCCACAUGUGUGCAUGGUAGGACAGAGGCCUAACUUGUUAGAUGUGUUGCUCACGCACAACGUGCGCAACAUCAGGGAUGGCAGCAGCAGCAGCACCUGCCUGCUUGUGGUCCACUGCCCCUUCCUACACUCAUGUAGUCAGUCUCUCACUAGACAGGCCCAUCUGUGUGGCAACAUCCUGAAGAAAGCUGAGGCUAAGUUUCGAGUUGCACCGGUUGAGACAGGCUGAGAGAGCAACUGCAAGAAGAGAGAGGGUGGAAUAGACAAGUCCUGCCAGCAGCAGAGGGAAAGGGAAUAGUGAGACAGUGGAUGAGGAAGGGAAAAGCAGUGGAGAGGAGAUGAGGAGAAGAGUCUUAGCUCAGGAGGGGCUUCACCAGCCACUUCAGGAGGAGAGAGAUGAAAAGAUUAAGUGAAGGAAUGGUAACCUUGAUCAGAGGGACAUUCAGCCUACCUGCCUGGUACCUAGGAGGGAGCUGCCAGCAGUCAAGGGAUCUUUGCUAUAUCAUAUAUCACUAUGGUACAGGGACUUCUGUGACCAGAAGGAAGGCUGGCUUCAUCUACACAGUGAAGAUAGUUUCACAUUCCAGGGCCUGAACUAAGUGCAGGUAUCAGUGGUCACAGCUACCAUUCAAAAAAUAAAGAUAUAUUUCAAUGUUAGAUAGCAUCUUACAAGCAGUAAUUAAACUUUUACAACACCCAUGUGAGGUAAGUGAAUAAUUAUCACUCCUAUUUUAAAGCUAUGAAAGGAGAGAGGGUAAGUGGUUUGCCGAAGGCCACGCAAUGAGUCAGUGGCAGUGCUUCCAUUAGCAGGCAUCAGCUCCUGCUUCCGAGGCCUGUCCAUGAGCCACAGCAGCAUUGCAGUCUCCCCAUCGAGAGAUGAAAGCAAGCUGAUUUCUCAAGCACUUUGAUGAGAGAAGGAAGGUUAGAAAUAGCCCACGGCUGUUUCUGGAGAAAGAGUCAGGACAGAAGGAGAAUUUCUAAAGAGGAGAGUGGAAAAGUGCCAGGCUCAGGAAAGGGAAUGGUGAUAAAGUAACUAUUGAUAUGUGUGGUUAUGAAGGGAAUAAAGCUGGCAAACCAGAACCAAAUGACAGGGAAGAAAAAAUAGGUCAGUGGUGAAGAUAGAUUUGUCAGAGAGCUUUGUGGCAUUUGAGAGGCCUAGGGGAGAGGUGGGAAGGGAAUGAGAGGGGAAAGAGAGAUGGGGAGAAAUUCCAGUGAAGUGCAUACAGCAGCAUUUAAAAACUGCUGCACUUGGAGGCAGGGAAAUAAAAGCCACUGAGCAUGAGGCCUUUCAGUGCCUGCCCAAUUACAAUCGUGCUAUUGAGUCUCACUCAGCAGCUGUGGAUCCUGGAAUGGUCUGCCAGGCUAGGUAAGUGUUGGCACCAUCAUCUCACUUACAGGAGUACCAAGGCUCGGAGCAGUGUAGAAACUUACCUGUGGUUGUUCAGCAAGGCAAAAAUUAUUACAAUAAGUGGAAUGUGAAAUAGAAAGACAGAUAGGGACACACAGUUCUCAGUGGCAUAGGAGAGAACAAGAAAAAUGAUGACUGAUGUCAGCAGCCCAAAUCUAUUUUUCCUAGCUCUAGAAUACAUCAUGCUGAGUAAAAUGGCAGGUAGAGGCCAGGAGAUACGGAUCUUUUAUGUUUUAAACUACAAGCUAAGAAAUACUGGCAGGCAGAUACGUUAAUAUAUGCACAUGCAUGCAAAUGCACGUGGACACAACACAAUUAGCCUGACACUGGAUUUGGUAUUGUACAUGUCCUUAGAUUAGUUAUUUCUGCAGUUUCUCAACUUUCCUCCUUUUAGCAAAACUAAGAUAAUGACUCUUACCUACAAAACAGAGACUCACUUAUAACCUAGAUUUUGCAAUGCUAAGUGUGCUUAACUUGAAGCUGCAAAUGAGCACCCAUUUUGCUUUUUUGGUUGUCUUGUGCCACGGAACACAAGCCACAUGUCUGACAGUUGGUGGCUGCUACACCAGAAUGAGCAUCACCUGAAAAAGUAAAACCUCAGAAAAUAGCUGCCAUCAUUACUAGUAGACUCUGAAAGAUUGUCAGAAAGAGUAGUGUUUUCAAGGCCUAAGAAAGUGAGGUGCUUGAGAACAAAAGUUCCUCUUCAUUUCAAAAGCCACCCUUCCUAAACUCUGCUUCCUCCUUUCCCUGGCAAAAAAAUGAAGCUACAGCUACUUUUACCUUAGUUUGUGGAAGGCAGAGAAGCAUCUUGCAGUUUAAAGUAAGAGGAGGAAACCAAUUCAACAAAUCUGUCGAGUGAGUCAGGAAAGAGCAGUGUAUAAAAUAAAGCUUAUUUUUAGUAACACUCCUUUGGUUUUAAAAGUUAUUCCAACUUCACCUCUUCCUUUUUUUCAGCUUCACAGGCAGAUCAGAGCUCCUUCUGCCACCUCUCCUUCCACCUGGCGCAGAGGGCCAUGGUACUUCAGCUGUGCAGUGCUACCACCCUCUGGCCACUUCAAUUCCACAGUCCUCAAUCUGCAGGAGACUCUGAACUUAGUCGUAUGCCUCCUACAUCUACUCUGUAAGAUAAAUUUCACCCUUCAGGGUACCUAGUGUGUGAGAGAGUGAUUUGCACCUUCUGAUGCAGCUCUAUACAAUGCUUGUUUUGACUGAUUCAUUUUGUAAAGGGAUUUCAUCUGGGUGAAGGAAGUAGUUAGACUUAGCCAAAUACAGUCAUCCACCACAUACGGCACUGGGGUUUUUCUAAAAGGCCACCAUCCAUGUUAGAUUGGUGACUGAUUCCUGCUUGGAGGAUAUAUUCGGUGGGAUGAGACGUUCCUGGAUCAUUUUGGGAUUUAAGUGCUGGAAUGGCAUUUCCUGUGGUACCUUGACCAAGAGAUUUUAUCUUUCAGCACCUCAGCCGCACAGCUGUAACACAGAUAUCAUGCACUUUUUUUGCACAUGGGUGUUGCCAGGAUGAACAUAUUAAUUAUUUUGAUCACAUGGGUGUGAGCUUAUAAAAAUUCCAAGUUAUGUAGCAGUCUGCCCAGAUCACUCUAUGCUGACGCUACCAACACACUGAGACUUCUGCAGAGAUAGUUUUCAGUGGUGGGGAGCUUCUGUCCACCAUAAACUGUGCUGAGGCCACUAGCUCAUUUCCCAGAGCACAGCAAGAAGAUAUAGGGUGGGAACGAUUGGAGGAGCAAAAAGUAAUUUGGAACCAAAACCUAAAGUACUUGGAGUAUAAGAGCUAUUUCACAUACAGCUACUACAAUAGAAGAAAAGGCUUAUUUUGCUGAAAUUGUCCCAACUUUUCAUAUUUUAUGUAAGAAACUGCACAAUAAUAAUAAGCACAGAGAUAAAAAUAGGCUCAGAAGCAAAACUGUGGCUUCAAAGUUGAAACACCAUGUUCUAGCAUUAUGCUUUUUUUGUGCCAAGCAAAUCAUAUCUUUUUAAACCUUUAUGGGACAAGAAAAUGUGAAGAACAUAGGUAAUAAAGUACUUUCUUGCAGAAUCUUGCCAUCUGUGUAGCUCUUUAGGGGUGAUGGAGGAUCACUCUAGCCAUAUCCUAUGUGAAGGAGCAAUGAAAGCAUUCAUUGUUCUUUAUAAUUUCCUUGUUACAGCCUCUCCUUACAGGUGAUAGGUUGGCACACUCUUUCCUAGAAGCACUGUGGAUUAGGAGAGCUAAGACUGUGUAGAGCUCACUCUGAGACUUCACCCAGACUUCUCACCGGAACUCUAAAAUCUGUUUGAAGAUGCUAUUAUGUUUUUGACAGGAGCAUAAAAGAGGGAGCCAAGAGGCAGCACGCUAGCAUGAACCUUCACAUGGUUUUGUAAAGAAGCUGGUUCAACAAGAUGUCAGAAAUGGACAUUUUAUCUGCCUUGACAAACCAUUCAAGUGUAUAUGUAGAUUUUUUUAUUUUUAUUUUUUGUCAGAGCAGUUCAUGCUAGAAGUGGAUUUUGGUUUUAAUUUUAUUGUUGUCAUUGUCUUCUCCUUGAUGCAGUAGUAUAAUGGUACUUAUAAUGGUAAUCUCUUGUAAGGACACGAUUGUUUCAGUGGAAAUUUAUCCAUAGUACGUGGCCUACUUUUUGCCUGACAGUGGCUAUAUUGGCCUUACAUACAUAGAAAGUUGCAAGACAAUGCUAAAAGGUUGAACUAGUGUCCCACUGAAAGAGUAGUUAAAGUCCCACAGUUGUUAUGUGUAGGCAAUCCCUGAGUGCCAGCAGUGCUCUUUCAUUUCUCAGGUUCAUAGUGGGAGGAGUGGUCAUAGUUCAAUUUUAUCUCAGAACAGAGUCUCAUUUUAUAGCAUUCAAUGUCUAUGGGAAAGGGACCUACUCUAUGUUCUCUGCCUUGAAUUCCUUAUCAAAAAUGAGUCUGAUCAAAACAGUUUAGUCUGUAAAUCUUAGUUUAGUCUGUAAAUAUCUGAACUGAAGAGCCUACGAUCUUUUUUCACUUUGGAAAAAGAAAAAAUAAGAACAACCUGAAGAGUCUGGUAGCAUCUCUACAUUUAUCAAAAAUAAAUAACCCUAUCUUUUCUUCUCAUCUUCUCUCAUGUCCGUAACCAAGUGCUUAUUUAUAUAAAAAACAAAAACAAACAAGAAAAAAAUGGAAAGAAUCAUAGAAUCAUAGAAUUACUCAGGCUGGGAAGGACCUCAAAGAUCAUCAAGUCCAACUGCCGCCUAACCAUAGUACCCUAACUCUAACAACCCUCCACUAAAUCCUAUCUCUGAGCACCACAUCCAAACAGCUCUUAAACACAUCCAGGGACGGUGACUCAACCACCUCCCUGGGGAGCCUAUUCCAAUGUUUAACCACUCUUUCUGUAAAGAAGUGUUUUCUAACGUCCAACCUAAACUUACCUUGGUGCAACUUGAGGCCAUUUCCCCUCGUCUUGUCACCUGUCACCAGUGAGAAGUCGCACUCACUGUAAGCAUCCUUCAGGUACUGGAAGAGAAUAAUAAGGUCUCCCCUCAGCCUCCUCUUCCCCAGACUAAACAGCCCCAGCUCCCUCAGCCUCUCCUCAUAGGGCUGAUUUUCCAAGCCCUUCACUAGCCUCGUUGCCCUUCUCUGGACCUGCUCCAGUACCUCCAUGUCCUUCUUGUACUGAGGUGCCCAAAACUGAACACAGUACUCGAGGUGAGGCCUCACCAAUGCCGAGUACAGGGCAGGAUGACUUCCCUAGUCCUGCUCACCACACCAUUCCUGAUACAAGCCAGGAUGCCACCGGCCCCCCUGGCCACCUGGGCACACUGCUGGCUCACAUUCAGCUGACUGUCCAACAGUACGCCAAGGUCCCUUUCCAUCAGGCAGCUUUCCAGCCACUCUGCCCCAAGCCUGUAGGGUUGCCUGGGGUUGUUGUGACCAAAAUGCAGAACCCAACACUUGGCCCUAUUGAAACUCAUGCCGUUAACCUUGGCCCAUCAAUCCAGUCUAUCCAGGUCCCUCUGUAGUGUCCUUCUCCCCUCUGGCAGAUCAACACUCCCUCCCAGCUUGGUGUCGUCUGCAAACUUACUGAGGAUGCACUCAAUACCCUCAUCCAGGUCAUCAGUGAAGAUAUUAAACAGAAGCAGCCCCAGCACUGAGCCUUGGGGGAUACCGCUCGUGACCGGCCACUAACUGGAUUCAACUCCAUUGACCACGACAAUUUGGGCCUGGCCAUCCAUCCAGUGCUUCACCCAGCAGAGCGUACACCCAUCCAGACCAUGGGCAGCCAGCUUCUCCACAAGAAUGUUAUGGCGGACAGUGUGAAAGGCCUUACUGAAGUCCAGGUAGACCACAUUGACAGCCUGACCCUCCUCCACUAAGCGGGUCACCUUGUCAUAGAACGAAAUCAGGUUUGUCAGACAGGAUCUACCGUUUGCAAACCCAUGCUGACUGGGCCUGAUCCCCUGGUUGACCUUUACUUGGUCCAUGAUGGUUCCCAAGAUUAUUCGGUCCAUGACCUUCCCUGGUACCGAGGUGAGACUGAUAGGCCUGUAGCUACCAGGAUCACCUUUCUGGCCCUUUUUGAAGAUGGGCGUCACAUUUGCCAGUUUUCAAUCCACUGGGACAUGCCCUGUUAGCCAGGACUACCAAAAAAUAAUGGAGAGUGGCUUGGCAACCACAUCCGCCAACUCUCUCAGCACUCUAGGGUGCAGUCCAUCCGGCCCCAUGGACUUGUAAGCAUCCAGCUUUUGCAGCAGGUCCAAAACUAUGUCGUCAUGGAUCAUGAAGGGCUUAUUCUGUUCCCCAUCCCUAUCUACCAGCGCAGGGGGCUGUGUUCCCAGGGAGUAACAAGUCUUAUUAUUAAAGACUGAGGCAAAGAAAGCAUUAAGUACCUCAGCCUUAUCCCUAUCCUUGGUGACCAGGUUGCCUUCGGCAUCCAACAAGGGAUGGAGAUUCUCCCUAGACUUCCUCUUGCUGUUAAUGUGUUUAUAAAAGCAUUUACUGUUUUCCUUCACUUUAGUGGCCAAGCUCAAUUCUAGCUGUGCUUUGGCUUUUCUAAUUUUCUCCCUGCACAGCUUCACUACAUACCUGUAAUCCUCAUAAGUAGCUUGCCCACUCUUCCAGAGACCAUAAACUUUCCUUUUGUUCUUGAGAUCCAGCCAAAGGUCUCUGUUCAGCUAGCCCGGCCUCCUUGCCUGUCGGCUCAUCUUCCGUGACAUGGGGGUGGUCAGGUCCUGCACCUUUAAAACAGUUUCCUUAAAAUAUUCCCAGCCUUCCUGGGCUCCCAUGCUCUCCAAAAUUACCUCCCAAGGGACCCUCUCAACCAUGGUCCUAAAGAGGUUGAAGUCCGCCCUCCGGAAGUCCAAGGUGGCAGUUCUGCUGAAAGAAAGAAAACAACUACAUUUCUACUGUGUCUAAUAUUUUGCUAUGGAAAUGUGCUUCACAAAAUUAAAAACAACUUUCAAAUCUCUAGAUCUUGACACAUCAGAACUCAUCUUUCCCUUUUUCAUGUCCACCCACGAGAGAGGUACUGGCUACCUGCCUGAAGGAAGAGAAGGCCAUGGCAAAAUGACACACCUCGCAUCUUGCCUUUCAGUAACCAAAAUUCGCUUAUCGCAGGCUGUAGAAAGGAGCAAAUUUUAAAGGUAUAGAAACUUCCUACAAAGAAUGUGCUUUACCUUUCAUUACUCUCUGGGCACCAACAGAAAAUAUGUGUCUUCAGUUGAUGAAAUUUGUGGUGAGCAAAGCUGUUGGCUUCACAACAUGGUUUGAAUUUGGAGAUUCUGCAUCUUAAGCCAUUUUCUAGUGUUUGUCAUAUGAUGCCCUAAAUAAUAAAAGAAAUAUUAUUAACAAAACACAAUGUAAUCAUCCAGUAAAGAUUAAGUUCAUAUGUAAAACUUCUGAUUAAAUAAGUUGCAGCUUAUUUUCCCAGCUGAUUUGGACUCCUUUGAAGAGAGAGACGUUAAGUUACAUUUAUCAUAUUUGAUGGAAAUGCCAACACCUAUUUGAUAUCAAGAUAAAGGAUUGGAUUCUCUUACUCUACGGCUUGAAAGCUGUCAUUAGCUGAGUGGAUAAAACCACGUUUAAGGCCAACCAGCCUUCUGCUCCACAGAUGGAUGUCUCUUCCAUCAUAAUCUACCCAAACAUCAGAGGUGAGGUGAGGAAGGCAUGUCCUAGACAUCCCACCUUGAUAUAACUUCCCACAGAUGAAUCUUCCACCACAAAGAGAAUCCUUUCUUAAGCUUCAUUACAAGCUGGAAAUCUUCCAGCAACUAACUUUUCAAUGGAAAUAACACUUUUUUUUUCCCCUCAGAAUCUUAUGUAGUUUCUGUGAUGCCUUUGUCUUCAAAGAUCCCAAAUCACCAGGCUAGCACCUGUUUAUUAAACACUGAAAUCUUCUAUCUGCUCACUAGCCAGCAUGUCUGACCAACACAGAAUAGAGGAAAGAGUAAGGAAAAUUGGUAUAUACUACAGUUUUAAAGCAUCAAAUCCAUAAUGAGAAAAGUGAGGAAAUUCACGAAUCCAGGCUCCCUCCCUGGAAACAGUUGUCACCACCACCAGCUGGUUCUAUUUCAAAUGCCUAAUUUGAUGCCAACUACCACAUUGUUGUACUAUUAAAAAAAAAAAAAAAAAAAAAAAAAGAAGAUUGAAAGGUUGCUUCCUACUUUGUUAGAGACAGAACUCAAAUAAUCUGAAACUCUGGAGGUCAGUGCUGUGAGUGUUUGAUGAGUGGCAAGACAUUGUUCCAGAAAUACUAUUUUUAUGGAUAUGCAUGUGUGCUAAGUGAAAAAAGAGUUUCACUUCUAUUGAAAAGAAAAAUUGGAAGCUGGCUUUUGUGAGAUAUUUAACUCUUCUACCAAUCAAAAAGAUGAAGAGGAGUGUGUGGGUGUGAAAAGCCCUGAACUCAAGAAUACUUAUUGACUUAAUUUAACUAAAAAUAUUUAGUUAUCUAAAUUGGAGGUGAAGAAUUUGGGAAUAUUUUUUAAGAAAAUAGGAAUGUCAAAAUGAGCAUUAGUUGCACUUUUAUGAAACAAAUUUCAGCUUCUUCUAGAGGCUAAAUGGCUGGCACUAAGACCAAGAGUUUUAUUGGACUCCUAGGGUGAAAUACCAUUUAUCCAUACAUCCAACUGCUACAACAAGCGAAUCUCUUUGGCAAUAUGGCAACACAAAACUAGUUUGUUUCAUAAUUUAGCAUUUUAAAACCGAGACUGUCUAUAAAUCCUCUGUUUAUAGGUGGUUCAGUGAUAGCAAAUGGAAAAGAAGCUACCUCAAGCUGCUUAUAAAAGAGUAGGUGACACAGAUCUGUGAAGCCUCUCUCAAGGUGUACAAGAGAUGAUUUUUCUAAGCACUGGGACUAAUAUGAAUUAAAUUAAUCUUUGGGAACAGGAUGACUUACAAGUGAAAAUGCCAUAAUCUUAUGUCAUUUGCUAGAGAAGGAAAAUUGAAACAGCUGAUCAGCUGAUCUAUUCAGGGCAUUUUAAUCUAAUUUGCACAGGAGUGGGUCUAAUUCAAUGGGCCUCCUUUAAUAAAUUUAAUGUUAUUAAUCAGUCAUUUAAAUCACAGUCCUUGCCUAUUUAUACUCCCCUCUGCCUCCCACAUGUACAUAAUAUUAGCUUUGCUGAGGCAAGGGCAAGAAGACUAAUGGGAAUAAAUGAGCAGGCAAGAGUCACAGGCAUAAUGGCCCAAGAGGUGAUGGCCUCCCAUAGCCACAUUUUCCAAUUUCUUGAGCCUGUGUUCAGUGAGGUCAUCCUCCUGGCCACUUGAUGGGACAGGAGCCGAGUCCCUCCACAGCGGGUCACUUGGGAAGGGAAGAGUUGUCAGGGGAGGUGUCUUAUCCUGCCCCCCAUGUGCAGCGUAACUAAUCUGCGCAACUUCCAGAGCCCACAGACCAUGCAUGGAAGGUCAGCAGGUCCGUGGCCACCAGCUCACAGCUGGGGAAAAAAAAAAAGCAGGAAACCAUCAGCCCUUAGACUCCAAAGGCUGAAGAGGGGCAGAUAAAACAGGGUCAUUAACUCUCACCUCACGAGACUUGGCAGGUCUCUGUCCUUGAACCAGGUUAGAGUUCUGCAUUAAUUGCUAUUAUUGCCACAGCAGUAUCUUUGGUGUUUACCAAGGCCCUAAUUGGAUUACAUCACAAUGGAUGCACACAUGCCCUGAUUCUAUGGAUAAGAUGAUUAAGAGAUUGAUCAGGCAUGUGCAUGUUUCAUGUUCCUGCAGUGCUUCUGCUGAAACACGCCUAUCUGUGGGAGGACAUCAUUGGCCUCUUUACAUCUUGUGGAAAGCACAAGCCUUUGAUUUGAGCUCCAGGAGCUGAAGCAAUGCUGGUGUAGAAUGUGCAGUUAUGUGGCAUGAUGAGGAUAGACAAAUCCAUGUGUCUGACAAAUCUGUUUUCUUUCUUAAAUACUGUUUUCUUUCUUAAAUACUGUUUUCUGGAUGCAGUGGGUCACCGUGGGUGAAGUUCCCAGCUGGGCAACUGGCAUCCAAAUUGCGCUGGAUGAUUGAUAAAAGAAAUAGGAAUGGCUCCUCAGCCCUUUCAAGAAGGUGAGUGAUUUCAAAUCAAAGCUGCCACUUCACCCUCCACUGGUAAUAAAUCAGUUCAAUAUGCCUGGAUGUGCUGGUUAACUCUGGAGAUGGUCAGAUCAUACAGCUGAAAACUGUCACAUUCUUAUCAGCAACGUGGUUCUGCAGUGCCAUCCUUACUUUCCAGCAUCUCUGAGAACACAAACCUUGGAUUUUGGUACGUCACCAGGGGAAUUUGCACAUGAGAGUUCACCUUUCUGUAACAGCUGUUACAACAAAACAUAGAAGAAAAUAAUGGAAAAGCAGCUGAGUACUUCCUGUGGAAAAAGAGAGUAUGGGAACUUAUUGCCUUGGAGAAAUGGUUUGUAUUGCCUAUUAAUUUACCACCCUCAGAACCCACAUAAGCUAUAAUACAACCAGGUCACAUGAAUUGAAAGGUGAACGUGUUUAUGUGGAUCUGACAGGUGUUAAUGGUGGCUUCCAACAGGAAAAGAAAUGCAGGACGAGAAUUUGCCCAUUAAACAAGUCCAACAGCAUUACUGCUUUGUACCAGUAUUACUUUCUGUAUCCAGGUGUUGCGAAAGUAAACGUCCUGCUACCUUUAUUUAGGAGAAGAUCCUCACAAAUGUAAUAAUCUUUUAAGGCCCAAUUUUAUCAUGCACUGUGCUUCUAUCUGGGUAUCCAAUGUAAUGUUCAUAAUAAGAUUAGCAGAGUGUAAAUCUUUAUGCAAUUUAAAUAAAUAGUCUCUUGAGUGUCUGGCAUUAGGAAUACAUUGUUCUAUAUUCCCCUACAGGCACUGAUGUUGUGUGCUGCAAUUGAGAUGUAUUUGUCUGUACCAUAUUACAAAGCAUUUGAUUUAAUUUUAAAUGGAACUGUCCCAUCUCUUCUUUGAUUUGACUAUCAUGUAAUUUGGUUAAUUAAAAUUCAUUGGGUAUUUCUUUCCAUUUGCCACAAAAAUGCUGAAGUGUGUAAUAUGGUAUAUCAAAAGUAGCUAUGUGGAAUGUCAUUGGCACAGUGCACGGAACAGCCCAAUACAGACACUAUUGUUGUAACAUCAAAUUUAUCCUAUGAAUCUCGUCUGUCCAGCUUAUAUAUAUAAUUCCACAUUCACUCAAUCUGAAUGGUUAUUUCCCAUAUUAAUAUCCUUAUUCGUUUGUUGUGAUACCUGGAUGUUUCCUAAACCUAUUGACUCAUUUAGUACUGAUCAGCUUUUAAUAUGGCCAAACAGAAUUAAACACAGGAAAACAAACAAACAAGCAAACAAAACCCAUACCAAAUUCAGAUGCCCCAUCCUUCCUCAAAUUUGUUGUAAUUCUGUUGUCUGCUUUACUGAUGGACACCAAGAAAAAAAAAAACACCAUUGCAAUCAAUAGAGCUGGGAGACCCAAACCAGUUGUUCACCUAUCUGGGUAGAUCAGUAACUGGAAGUUCAUCUCAUCUCACUGCAGAUAUCUGAAACAGGACAGAAGAACAGGCAAACUACAUUUUUCUCUUCACUGACUCCAGAAAGAGGUUAAAAAAUUAACCAGUGUCAUGUAAAUUCAUGUUCCAAGCUGUCCUGUUUGUGUUGAGCAGUCCUUGUGUAUUUGCCUUCACUCUGCAUUACUGUGUGUGAGAUGGACCUCUGUUCCAAGGCUGAAAAUACAGCCAGCAGAGGUAAAUCAUCUGUCUGGUCACUCCUGAAGUGUCAACAGUUCUAGGAUCAUGACAUCUGUUGUAAUAAGGCCAGUGGCUCAGCACAGAAGGAUUUAUAUCACUGUAAAACUGGAGUAAACUCUCCAGUCAUCCACCCCAAUGCAUUUCACAGGAUGUAUAGAUAAUAUACUUGAUAAUUCCUGCACCAAGAUUCAACAGUUUGAGGCUCAAAAAGAUUGACCUCAAAAGAAAAUGCAUAUCCUUUCUUGGUUCAAAGCUCCUCCAGCAUCACUUAACUCUUCCAUAUCCUCGGUGGUAGUUUCCUAUGGCUUGUUGCCCCACAUCAGAAACCAUAAGAGUAUCAUCCUGGUUCCCAGUAAUAUUCUGCUGGUAAAUAAAAAGUUUUCUGUUUGCUUGUUUUUCAAGAAUGUGCUGUUAAUCUUUUAAUUACUACAAGGGAACAAUGUGCUGUUAAUCUUUUAAUUACUACAAGGGAACAAAAGCUGCAAAGGCAUCUCAUGUUACAGGACACAGUUUUUGCUAAAGCACUGCCAUGAUGAAUUCAACAGUGUUAACUUUUCCUGUGAUCAAUCACAAUAACAGCUAAUCAGUGACAAAGACUUCGCUCCUCAUGCAGACACUUAUUUUAAAGCAGUCAUCUCUACAGCACCACCAGCAAAAUUUACUUCAUGGUUGGCAUUGCUUCACCAAACCACCAUCUGUGACAAACCUGCCCUUCCCUGUCUCCUGCUCCCUGCUGAAAGUGCUCAUAAUUCACUGCUUCAUAACUUACUGCCUGAGAAGGAGCCAGGCAAGGCAAUGAAGCAAAGCCUGUGGCCAGGAGAGAGGGGAGGAGGAAGACAACUGCCUUACUGAAAGGCCAGGCCUACCUGGAUGAUUAGGCCUCCAGCAUGCAGUCUGGUGAGAGAUGGCACUUCCCUUCCUCCUCACGUGAGCAGGGCAGAAUUUUGUCCAUUCUAACAGAUGUUCCUGCACAAGUUUGCCAUCACUCUAAAGCAAGUGUGUCAUGGCUGACCAACUGUGUCACCCCUGGGAUCCCCCAGCUGUAUCACUUAGUACCAUACCUGCUAUGGAGAGCAAGGGAGCACAGGCAUCUGGCACACUUCCUACAUAUCAGUCCCACCUGCAGCACCUUGUCACUGGGCCUGUUUGCAUCAGACAGAGCUGCACAAUGUGUAAAGUGCCUUUGUCAGCUAGUAUGGUGGAUUCUGGCUUAUAAUCACUAUGGCUAAAUAGAAAAAAAGCUUGACAAAAUCCACACUGCAUUUUUAAUUGCUGUUGGAAUCGUCAGAACUAACCCAUCCUGUUCCUGUUUCUCUCUUCCUGUUUCUGAUGCCCACACUCAUCAUGCUUGUGCUUGGCAGGGGUUCAGAGCUGCAACUGGAAGCAUCCUGAGGCUUGUGAGAUCUGAGUAACUGGUACUCUGUUGCAAGCCUAACAGCACAGAUCUCUUGGAGAACCACACGAUAUGCUUGAUUUUUAAACCUGUUGUUUUUAAACUAAUAUUUAGAAAUCCAAAAUAAGUUAGCUGUGCUUCCCUAAAGACAGAAUUAUUGCAGAAUAAUUGGGGUAGUUUCAAAGCAAAUGUGAAUCCUUAAUCACUUGUAAAUAUUGCACAGCAGUAACAGGCUGUCUUAACAGGAACUUGUGUCCUCCAUCCAACAAAUGCUUGCAGAUCACAGAAAACAAUCAAGCCCAAAGUCUAGAAAAACCAUCUCCAGCAAACAGCACGGGGAUUUCAUAAUUAAGCAUAAGUUGUGAAUGCGUGUCAGUAGUCUCAGUUUGGAAAAGAACAUUUCCUCAGUCAACGUAAAACAGUUUCAUGACUGUGAAGAAAGAACUGAAUGGGCAUUUAUUAUUUACUCUCUUAGGAAGAUCAGAAAUUAGGUGAUUAAAAUGUUAUUCACUGUUUUAAAGUGAUGAUACUUUUGAUCAAAUUAAUAAAAUUCUCAUUACUCACUAUAACCACAGUGUCUUCUAUAUGCUGAGACAGCUACAACCCUGCUACUCUUUUCACAAUUCAUUCGCACUCUUCGUUUAAUUUAUGUUCUUAUUUCUAAGAAUACUGCAGAAAGUCUAUGGGGAAAACAGAUUUCUUUUAUCUUCCCCAAAAGCUGGAGCAUGGAGUUAUUCAUUUGUUAGCUUUUGGGAAACAGAACAGCAUAGACAAAUGGCAGGAAAUUCAGAAUUCAAGUGCAGAGCAAGUAUCCGAUAAAAUAAAUAAAUGAAUAAAGCAAGCAAACAUGUUAAACCUAUUCUCAAUCUGAGCAGCUCAUUUGACUGGUCUUCUAGUUGCUAUAUUGCAAAGCAAAAGUUAUGCAUCUUGCUCGAGGAACACCACACAAAUUAGAAGAAAUGCCAACACUGGAAAAUGCAGUAGUCUUAGAUUGGUCUGCCAUUUGGGAGGACUGGUUUUCUGAUUACAUGACACUCGUCAUGUUUCUUUUUCUAUACCUGUUUUGUGUGAACGUUACUAACUCGUCUGGGUAAUGUUUUAUCUGGAGCUUUACUGUCCCUGCUGAAUUCCAUUUGCUUCUGUUCCUGUAAUGUACACAGUCUCAAUUUGGAAGACUAAACACUCUAAAAACUUUGGAGUUAUGGUUUUUGACUGCUCCACUACCAAUUUCUGUAUUCCAUAUAAGCUACCAUUUAAUUGACAAGUUAGAUUAUGAAUUAACUUCCCUACCACCUGCCCUGCACGUUUUCUGCAGUUAGCUAAAUGUACUUGUAGGAGGUCUGGCAUUUAUUUCUCUGAAUGACAAAAUGGAAUAGGCAACACUAAUCUCCUACAAGCAGACUUUCCUGCUCCAUUUUCAAUAUUUUGAUGAAUUCCACUGAUUUCUUGGUGUACGUUAGUGUAUAUACACAAAUUGGUUAAAAAAGUUUCUAUUUUAUCUAUUUAUCUAUUAUCUAUUUUAUUUAUUUUUUUCUAUUUAUCUAUUUUAUUUUUACCGAAAGCUUACAAUCAUGUUUCCAUGAUUACCAGUUAUACCUAAUUUUUGUGAUUGGGUGCACCAGACAGUUUGCUGAUGACACCAAGCUGAGUGGUAUAGUUGAUACAAUAGAGGGGAGGGAUGCCAUCCAGAGGAACC